CUAUUACCCGAACUGGCCGAUUCGCUAUCAUCGUCGGAUAACUUAUUUUUCCUUCUAUUCAUUCUUUUGCAGGAACAGGACACUCCCAAUAAUAGCCUCUUCUCAUUUGCGGUUGUACUCUCCGAUGACGAAGAAGUCGCCGCUCGUCAAGUUACCCUGAGCUCCGUCCCCGACGAUGUUCGUGCCAAACUCGAGAGCAUACGAACCCUUCUCCAAGAAGACAUCGGCC
rnacentral:lncRNA from 1 species